GCUGUAGAAAAGGCCCCAAAGUUAUGCUAGAGUUGUUAUUAUUUAUUCAAUCAUGCUUUAUGUUUCAUGUUUUCUGCCGUUUAUUCAGUGCUUGUAACAGAGUAGGAAAGUGCGCACUGGUUUGUGUAUUUUAUCUGAUGUCACGCAGUUAGUAUGCAGUACGGUAGAGAUAGACGUUCGUUGUCACGCACUUAGUAUGCAGUAUGAUAGAGAUAGGCGUUCGUCAUUACAGUUAAUAUUCAGUACUACAGAGAUUGUCUGUCGGUUCGGACAUAAUGGCGGGUGUCAUUUUUCCUCAGAGUGUGCGUGAAUGUGAAAAAAACCACACACUGUAUUCAAAUUGCAUUUAAACUCACUCAUACAAGAAAAGGAGAAUAAACAGAACAUUAAGAAUA